AUUGAACGCUGGCGGAAUGCUUUACACAUGCAAGUCGAACGGCAGCACGGACUUCGGUCUGGUGGCGAGUGGCGAACGGGUGAGUACUGUAUCGGAACGUGCCCAGUCGUGGGGGAUAACGUAGUGAAAAUUACGCUAAUACCGACUACGAUCUAUGGAUGAAAGCGGGGGAUCGACAGACCCCGCGCGAUUGGAGCGGCCGAUAUCAGAUUAGGUAGUCGGUGGGGUGAAGGCCCACCAAGCCAACGAUCCGGGGCUGGUCUGAGCGGACGGCCAGCGAGACGGGAACGGAGACACGGUCCAGACGCCUACGGGAGGAGGCAGUGGGGAAUUUUGGACAAUGGGUGAAAGCCUGAUCCAGCCAUUCCGCGGGCAGGAUGAAGGCCCUCGGUUGUAAACUGCUUUGUACAGAACGAAAAGGUUUCUACUAAUACUAGGAGCUCAUGACGGUACUGUAAGAAUAAGCACCGGCUAACUACGUGCCAGCAGCCGCCGUAA
rnacentral:rRNA from 1 species